UAUGGUCCUGUCACAAAGCAGUCCACGCAACAUGGUGGCGGUGUUUUUGUAGUGUAAAGAAUAGUCCUUUUCGCAAAAGAGAAAUAAUUAUUUUUGGGGAAAUUAUGGCGGCCCAACGUGCACUGCCGCAAAGCAAAGAAGCUCUGUUGAAAUCGUACAUGACAAGACUGAAGGAUGAUGUGAAAUCGAUGCUAGAAAAUUUUGAAGAGAUUAUAAAACUAGCCAAAGGAGAAAGCGAUUCACAAUUAUCGCGGAUGACACAAUGCGAGCAGGACACGUACGAAAUGCAUGUGCGAGCGGCCAAUAUUGUACGUGCCGGUGAAUCUCUAAUGAAGCUUGUCUCUGAUAUAAAACAGUAUCUAAUACUUAACGAUUUCCCAUCUGUAAACGAAGCCAUAGGACAAAACAGUAAACUGUUCAGGACAAAACAGGCAGAAUGCGAUCAGAAAUUGGCAUCUUUGAGAGACGAUAUGGCUGCUGAUCUGUAUGAUUUAGAAGAGGAAUACUACACAUCGAUAUAUAAAUAACAUAAACUUUGCUAUAGACGCACAACCGUGUGCUCUUUCCUCGGACCAUACCGUGACUGCAAUUUGGGUGCUUGACGAGACGAUUAAUUCGGGCGUAAUUGUUUCAUUUUAUUACUUGAAUACCUUGUAACACACAGACGAUACAUCACACAAUACUUCUAACUGGUAAGUAUACUCAAUAAGGU